rnacentral:misc_RNA from 1 species
GAUGAAGAACGUAGCGAAAUGCGAUAAGUAGUGUGAAUUGCAGAAUUCAGUGAAUCAUCGAAUCUUUGAACGCACAUUGCGCCCCUUGGUAUUCCAUGGGGCAUGCCUGUUCGAGCGUCAUUUGUACCUUCAAGCUUUGCUUGGUGUUGGGUGUUUGUCCCGAGGGACUCGCCUUAAAGUCAUUGGCAGCCAGUGUUUGGUUUUGAAGCGCAGCACAAGUCGCGAUUCAAGGCUACACGCCCGCUUCCACAAGCCUUUUUUCACUUUUGACCUCGGAUCAGGUAGGGAUACCCGCUGAACUUAAGCAUAUCAAUAAGCGGAGGA